rnacentral:rRNA from 1 species
UACGGAGGGGGGCUAGCGUUGUUCGGAAUUACUGGGCGUAAAGCGCGCGUAGGCGGCUUUGUAAGUUAGAGGUGAAAGCCUGGAGCUCAACUCCAGAACUGCCUUUAAGACUGCAUCGCUAGAAUCGUGGAGAGGUGAGUGGAAUUCCGAGUGUAGAGGUGAAAUUCGUAGAUAUUCGGAAGAACACCAGUGGCGAAGGCGACUCACUGGACACGUAUUGACGCUGAGGUGCGAAAGCGUGGGGGAGCAAACA